AUUGAACGCUGGCGGCAUGCCUUACACAUGCAAGUCGAACGGUAACAGGUCUUCGGAUGCUGACGAGUGGCGAACGGGUGAGUAAUACAUCGGAACGUGCCCGAUCGUGGGGGAUAACGGAGCGAAAGCUUUGCUAAUACCGCAUACGAUCUACGGAUGAAAGCAGGGGACCGCAAGGCCUUGCGCGGACGGAGCGGCCGAUGGCAGAUUAGGUAGUUGGGGGGAUAAAAGCUGACCAAGCCGACGAUCUGUAGCUGGUCUGAGAGGACGACCAGCCACACUGGGACUGAGAAACGGCCCAGACUCCUACGGGAGGCAGCAGUGGGGAAUUUUGGACAGUGGGCGCAAGCCUGAUCCAGCCAUGCCGCGUGCAGGAUGAAGGCCUUAGGGUUGUAAACUGCUUUUGUACGGAACGAAAAGACUCUUUCUAAUAAAGAGGGUCCAUGACGGUACCGUAAGAAUAAGCACCGGCUAACUACGUGCCAGCCGCCGCGGUAA
rnacentral:rRNA from 1 species